UGGAGGGCAAACUCUCUUGACGUAAAGACCAAGAAAUCAUUACAUGUCAUGGAGUUGCUCUUCAAA
rnacentral:pre_miRNA from 1 species